CGGGUGAGUAACACGUGGAUAACCUACCUAUAAGACUGGGAUAACUUCGGGAAACCGGAGCUAAUACCUGAUAAUAUUUUGAACCGCAUGGUUCAAAAGUGAAAGACGGUCUUGCUGUCACUUAUAGAUGGAUCCGCGCUGCAUUAGCUAGUUGGUAAGGUAACGGCUUACCAAGGCAACGAUGCAUAGCCGACCUGAGAGGGUGAUCGGCCACACUGGAACUGAGACACGGUCCAG
rnacentral:rRNA from 1 species